rnacentral:rRNA from 1 species
GCCAGCAGCAAAAGCAUAUUGACUGUACCAGUUCCCAAUGGCUGAAAUCGAGCAACGCUGCACUUGGUUGGUAUCUAGAUGGAUGACCAUAUGGCAAUCACGUGCUGCUGACU